AACAGCUCUGUGUUUAGCCUCAACAACCGUGUACUGUUGUACACAGCUUAGCUGUGACUUUGUGUGCACAGGAAGAUGCCCAGGGGCGACAGGAAAACUUGGGAAUAAUUUUCCACAGACACAAAGGGAAGCUGAUGAACAGCUGUGUUGGGGAACACUCAUUUCUCGGGACAGAAAACUUCCCUUCUGCUUCAUGUAUUGUGAGCGUGUGAACCAUCCCGUUUCAUUGAGCUGCUUACAGGAGCAUGUACACCUUUGCCAGUGGCUACACCACUGAAGAAGACGUCCCUCCUCCCCCUUCAGUGUCUAUGUACAAAUCUUCAGGGAGUGUGUGUGAGUCUUGUGAACCAAUAUUUCUCCCUAAUCAGAUGCUGACGAUCAGAUCAUAUGCAGACAGCCAUGGCUGCUAUGAAUUCAAGACUUCCGAUGCUACGUCAUGGCUGAUGUCAAUGCUCCACACCAACACUCUUCCCCUUGCUCUGUUCCUUACGUUCCUUCUGGUCUUGAUUUCAUGAUGCUCCCUGCACUGUGGGUGUGGGGAUACAGAUGAGUUAUUUAUCUCUGCAGAGUCUGCAGUUAUUGUCUGUGCCUUGCAAAGUUAUAAGUCGCUGUAGUCGCUGCUAAUAAUAAAUGAAUGAAUGAAUAGAUAAAUAAAAAUAUCUCUGUCCAAA